GGGAAAGUGGCGACGAGUCGACCCGAAACCACGUGAGCUACCCAUGGUCAGAGUGAAGCGGAUGUGAAAGUCCGUCGAGGCUCGAACUCACCAGUGUUGCAAAACUGGGGGAUGAACUGUGGGUAGGGGUGAAAUGCCAACCGAACGUGGAGAUAGCUGGUUCUCCCCGAAAUGCAUUGAGGUGCAGCCACGGUAGAACGAUCUGGUGGAGGUAGAGCUCUGGAUGGGCUAGGGGCCAAGUGCUGGUUACCAACCCCACUCAAACUACGAAUGCCACAACCAGAUGCGCGUGAGUGAGACGGCGGGGGCUAAGCUUCGUCGUCGAAAGGGAAACAGCCCAGACCACCAGCUAAGGUCUCUAAAUCGAUGCUCAGUGUGAAAGGUAGUCUGUGUGCUCAAACAGCCAGGAUGUUGGCUUAGAAGCAGCCAUCAUUGAAAGAGUGCGUAAUAGCUCACUGGUCGAGUGGACGGGCACCGACAACGUAGCGAGGCUUAAGCAUCCCACCGAAGCUGUGAAUCCCCCCGUGAAGGAGGGAUGGUAGGGGAGCGUUCUCAAGCAGAGAAGCCCGACCGUGAGGACGGGUGGAGCGAAAAGAAGUGAGAAUGCCGGAAUGAGUAGCGUUUUGCAUGUCAGAACCAUGCACACCGAAUGCCUGAGGGUUCCUGGGCACUGUCAAACAUCCCAGGGUCAGUCGGGUCCUAAGCCGAGGACGUCAUAGUCGUAGGCGAUGGCAAGCAGGUUGGAUAGUCCUGCACCGCAGCAGGUCGCGAUGAGCGAAGCGGGGACGCGGUAAGGAAAGUGAACCUCUCGAAUGGACAGGAGAGGCUCCCCGAGCGAAGUGCGAGGAAGAGGCAAAUCCCUUUCUCAUGAGCAUGACGCCGGGGACGAGUCUGCGCAAGCAGGCGGAAGUCACUGGCCCCUACGCCGCCCAGAAAAGCCGCUAGCCAGACGUGUCUGCGCCCGUACCGCACACCGACACUGGUAGGCAGGGAGAACGCUCCCAAGGUGGACGAGUGAGCCUCUGUCAAGGAACUCGGCAAAUUGACCCCGUACCUUUGGAAGAAGGGGUACCUUAGUAGCGUGCUCUUCGGAGGGCGUGAGGAGGUCACAGCACAUCGGCUCAAGCGACUGUUUACCAAAAACACAGGUCUCUGCGAACACGAAAGUGGACAUAUAGGGGCUGACUCCUGCCCAGUGCCGGAAGGUUAAAGGGAGUGGUGAGCGUAGCCACGAACUGAAGCCCCGGUGAACGGCGGCCGUAACUAUAACGGUCCUAAGGUAGCGAAAUUCCUUGUCGGGUAAGUUCCGACCCGCACGAAAGGAGUAACGACUUGAGCACUGUCUCGACAGGGGGCUCGGCGAAAUUGAAGUACCCGUGAAGAUACGGGUUACCCACGACAGGACAAAAAGACCCCGUGGAGCUUUACUACACCUUGGCCUGGAGACGAGGCGGAUUGUGCGUAGGAUAGGUGGGAGCCGCAGAUUCUACCCUUGUGGGGGUGGAGGAGGCAACGGUGAAAUACCACUCUCAAUGUGUUUUGUUUCUCACAUGCAUCCAUGAGCUGGAGCGUGAACAGGGCCAGGCGGGUAGUUUGACUGGGGCGGUCGCCUCCCAAAGAGUAACGGAGGCGCUCAAAGGUUCCCUCAGGGUGAAUGGCAACCACCCGCAAAGAGUGUAAAGGCACAAGGGAGCUUGACUGCAAGGCAAACAAGCCGAGCAGGGACGAAAGUCGGACUUAGUGAUCCCACAUUCCCGUGUGGAAGGAGUGUGGCUCAACGGAUAAAAGCUACCCCGGGGAUAACAGGCUGAUCCUAUCCAAGAGUUCACAUCGACGAUAGGGUUUGGCACCUCGAUGUCGGCUCGUCGCAUCCUGGGGCUGGAGUCGGUCCCA
rnacentral:rRNA from 1 species